rnacentral:rRNA from 1 species
AGGGUUUGAUUAUGGCUCAGGACGAACGCUGGCGGCGUGCCUAACACAUGCAAGUCGAACGAGAAUCUGUGGAACGGAGCUUCGGCGAAGGGAAGCAGAGGACAGUGGCGAACGGGUGAGUAACGCGUGAGGAACCUGCCUUUCAGAGGGGGACAACAGCUGGAAACGGCUGCUAAUACCGCAUAACACGAUCUGACCGCAUGAUCGGAUCGUCAAAGAUUUAUCGCUGAAAGAUGGCCUCGCGUCUGAUUAGCUAGUUGGCGGGGUAACGGCCCACCAAGGCGACGAUCAGUAGCCGGACUGAGAGGUUGAACGGCCACAUUGGGACUGAGAUACGGCCCAG